GAUGAAUGCUGGCGGCGUGCCUAACACGUGCAAGUCGAGCGGCAGCGAGGGGUGCUUGCACCCUGUCGGCGAGCGGCGAACGGCUGAGUAACGCGUAGGAAUUUGCCCCAAAGUGAGGAAUAACUGCCCGAAAGGGUAGCUAAUGCCGCAUAUGGUCUUCGGAUUAAAGGAUUUAUCCGCUUUGGGAGAAGCCUGCGUUGGAUUAGGUUGUUGGUAGGGUAAUGGCCUACCAAGCCGACGAUCCAUAGCUGGUCUGAGAGGAUGAUCAGCCAGACUGGAACUGAGACACGGUCCAGACUCCUACGGGAGGCAGCAGUGAGGAAUCUUCCACAAUGGGCGAAAGCCUGAUGGAGCAACGCCGCGUGAAGGAUGAAGGCCUUCGGGUUGUAAACUUCUUUUAUGAGUGAAGAAUAUGACGGUAACUCAUGAAUAAGCACCGGCUAACUACGUG
rnacentral:rRNA from 1 species